AGCCCCCGCGCUCGGCCGGUCAUGUGCUUUCUUGGAAGUGAAUGCAUGGAAUGAUGACUCAGAUUAGGACCCACACUGUUCUGGAUGAAGCUGAUCAAAACUCUUAAUGGUUAGCAACCUGGCACAGACCUGCAAUUUCUCAUCCAUGUCGUCAUCACUUUCAUCCAGGUCUUCGUGGAGUAGUCGCCAUUCAUAUUCAACGUGAACGUGAGAAUUAAAUCUUCCAGAUAAGGCUUGGGUCAGCUGAGAGAACAGAGGGAUGGUCAGUGCUGUUGCUCAUACACUCGGCCAUGCAUCUGGACCCACUGAAGUGUGCAGGCAGGAGGCCUGCCUUCUAGUCCAAGGCAAAUGCAUGGAAAUCUCUGGGUCUCAGGUGAAGCCCCCGCCCCUCUGCCUACUUCACAGCGUAACCUUGAAACUCAAAGCUGGUAUGUCCCAGCAAAGGCUUUGUAAACUGUAUUAGUUUUCAUCCACAGUUCCCGGCUCGUAACUCUCAAAUCCCUUGUUACAGUCUUCGGUUAUAACAUGGAGUGUUAAGGCCUCAGGAGACAGAAUCUCUCUGAACUUCUCCUGCCCCAAGGCAGGACUCUUAUCGUCCCCCACUUUUCUGACUGUGGGUCUUAAGGCCCUCCCCAGAGAGGGUCUCACCCUGUACCCUGGGGGAAGAGAUGCUGACACCAAGAAGCUUCCAUAAAAAUCAAAGAGGACUGGUUCUCGAGCUUCAGGAUGGCAAACCACACAGAGGGUCCUGGAGGGUGGCACCCAGGGAGGGCAUGGAACCCCCAUGUCCCCUCCCCCACACCUUGCCCUACGCACCUCUCUAUCUGUAUGCUUUGCAAUAUCCUUUAUAAUAAACCAGUAAA
rnacentral:lncRNA from 10 species